CAUUUAAAGAAGUUGAGACGUGUGCUACUAAAAUUGGAACGAUACAGAGAUUAGCACGGCCCCUAUGCAAGGAUGACAUGCAAAUUCGUGAAGCGUGCCAUAUUUAA